UAUAUAAUCAUCAAAAAAAUAACGACAAAGAAAUGAAUGUAAGUGUAUUAAUCUAUGUUGAAAGCCUGCACAAUGACAAACGAUGAAACCUAUAUUGCCUUUUUGGGCGUAAAAUGGGUGAAAUUUGGAUAAAGUGGCGUUUUGUUAAGAAGAAAAAAAAAUGGAAAGCGAUUGAUUGUGAUUGAACACCUUAAAAGCGAUCAUGUUGAAAAAAUCUUUCAGACUUUAAAAUAAUGCAUUUUUGAUGAAAAAAA
rnacentral:lncRNA from 1 species